UAGGGUCAAACCUUUGACCUGGGGUCAUGGGUCAAAUUUUGGGUCGCCCGGAAUUUGGGUCGUGACAGCCAUACACCUCCACGGGCUGCAAUUGGGGAACCACGCACUAAUAGGAACACGCCACUUCAGGAAGUCUCCACAUCUGCAUGAAGGAGUCCACAUGCAACAGAUUGGCAUUCUCCAAGACUUACACGCACAUGCCAUGCCACCUAGAAUGAUUUCCAUAGUGGAUGCCAUUCACGGUUGCGUCUAUUUUAAAUAGAAACACCACACUACAGCAUGUAUUUUGGGAGGCUACCUGGAUGCACUUUCCAUGGGUUGUAACUUGCAAAAUUUGCCCAUAACCACACUUAGGUACCCUCCAUCAGUUUCGAAGUGGUGUACUACAAUCAAAUAAGAAAGAAUACACGCACAGUUCGGGGAAAUGGCCUUCAGAAUCCGCAUUUUAAGAGAAUGGACUGCAACCUUUAAACAUCCACUACCAGUCCAUGCACAAUGACAAACCAUGCCUACCACUUUCCAAAAACAACCGCCACAUUGCAUGCAUGCAAAGACACCAUGCACAUCCACUUUGGGAGGUGACAUGUUUUGAGGACUUUCCACCAUUACUGAAUGAGGCUUCCAGCAUAUUAAAGGACAUGGGCAGAAAGAAGGAUGGUAUGAUGGUGAAAGCACAGUUGUCUCUGUCUUUGUAGUCAUUGUUGUAUCCACUGUAAGGGGCUCAGGCAUAUAGACAAUUUCAACAAGUUAUUCAAAGCCAUAAACAAUAUCCUGGUUGAUGUUGUCCGAAUGGGGGCAGCAUCAGCAGAUUUGGAUACUUGAGAUUGUUGUCAGAGAUGUUGUUCGCUUAAAAGAUUGGAGAUCAAUUUGAUUGUUCUCGGAUGGGCCUUUGUUCCAAGUCGAUGACACGACCCUGACGGAUCAGGAGCGAGGAGAACCCGUACCCUCAAUAGGUAAGGUUGGUCUGCCAGUUUUGUUGCUGAGAAUGGUGGCAGAUCCCAUACCCUCACCGUCUGGUCAGCAAUCAUUGAUCUCUUCGUCGGGCGGAGUACAGAGGGCCUCCUGGGGUGCCACAGCAAUAAUAAUAACUGCAGCAACAAUGGAUUCAAGCACUUGUAGCAAAUUUUCAUCCAACAACAAUCUAUCAGGAGCUUCUUCAUCUCCUAUCUUUCAAACAAACAACACCUCUGACUACAAUUUCAAAAAUCCAAUUCUGCUGAAGCUGCCCAUUUCAAACAACAUCAACCCGGAUAUUGUUGCUGACAUUGGAUAAUUCCUGGGGAAUCACCUGUUACACCUUAAGUUACUCACAACACAGACCAAACUUGAUGACUAGAAAGGCAGCAACAAGUAUGCUUCCCCCAUCAUACUGCCAUUCUUUCAGCCCAUGUCCUUUAAGGCAGAAACCAAGAUGAAAUGCAGCACAAAAGCUACAAGCAAGAGAAUGGUAAGAUCCUCGCAAGCUUCCACCACCAAGUGGAAGAAGCCUUUUGUGUGUGGAUUUCAGUAACACCAAGGCCUUGUGCGAGCAGGCAAAAUCUUCAAGAUCACCAAGAAUGCCCUUUUCACAUCACAGGCGCCGGAGCCGGUCCAUCAACACCUCCAGAAACCGCAAGUUCCCAACGGUAAAAGUUUUUCUUCUUCACCAUUUCACCAAGGCUUAUUUGAUCAAUCUUGGACAAGAGAUGCGCCGGAUUAACAUUAAAUGCUCUUCUUCUUGCUGGACAAAGCAUCCCUGAGAAACGAGAGAAUCAUCGACCCCUGGAAAAAGAGACGUCGCUCAGCGAAGAUCAAAUUAAUGCCAUUAUCGAGUUCACAAAGGGUGUUUGAUAACUGAUAAGCGAGCCAGGACUCCGUACACGCUUGCAGAAACAAGAAAAAGAAUUAUUUGAUCCAAGCAGCAUGAUGGCUCAGAGAGAAUUGAAAGGGUUGGCUGGAUGGGGAAGGCUGCAGACAGGGCAUAAUUAUAACAUUUUUUUUCACGCGGCAUUCUCUGAGGCCGUCUUUGUUGACCAGUUACACCAAUCAUGAGCGUAAGUUCCAUGAAAUUACUGUCGUAGGAGCAUCAUUUAUUGUUUGUUUUUUUUCUUAUUGUUUGGAAUCUUUGGUACUGAAGUGUAACCCCCAAAGCAGGAGCAUUAUCUUCUUCAAAAAUUGUAUACAUACUAUCAUUUAGGAAUUAUGGACCUCUCAUUUUUUAAUUUGAGAAAGAAAAAAUUGUCGA